UCUGGCGGAUAUUCAUUCCUCCAUUAGGUUCUUUGAAAUGGGAAGGCCAUGAGGACUUGUAGAUAAGCUUCAUGUUAGCACCUGGUCCACAGUUUGUACAUGGUAUUAACUAGCAAAAAAAGGUAUAGAUGUGAUUGGUAAAACUGCAGAAGAAGGAGGUGUAGAUGUGAUUGAAUCGUACGUAUUUUGGAAUGGAUAUGAACCAUCACUAGGCAAUAGUUAAUGAAAAAUAAAAGAUUAAGGAUAUUGUGGAGUACAAACAAGCACAACAGGGGAUUAAGUUGUUCCAUGAUUCCUAAUUGUUUUUUUUUUGUUUCAUACAUGUUCCUCACCUGGUCCUUUCGUCUUCCUGUGCAUUGUUCAUCAAUAAAGUAUCAUCAUACCAUCAAGCUUGGUGGUUAUGGCAGCCAACCCGUUCCAUGCUCUGUUCUACUUGGUCUUCAUGCUAACCACUUGUGCACUUUUCUCAAAAGCUUGGAUUGAAGUUCCUGGAUCAUCUGCCCGAGAUGUGGCCAAGCAACUUAAG